UGUAUGUGUGUGUGUGUGGUGAGAAGUGGGUCUGUGUGUAUGUGUGUGUGUGUGUGUGUGUGUGUGGAGUGGGGGGUGAGAAGUGGGUCCAUGUCUGUGGAGCAUGUUUGUGCUUUUAACCCCAAUUUUGCUGGGGACAGACUUGUGAAGACCAGCAGGUUUGGGCACGCAGCCUUGUCCUGUGUGGGGUGGACACUGCUGUUUGCUCUGUGAAUUCGGGACUGUGUUUGCCUCUCCUGAAACUUGCUUCGGGGGCGUCUGUGGGUUGGUGGGGCACGGCUGGGUGUGGCGAGUGCCCAAGGCUGGCCGUCCCCGUCGUCUCCUGUGGGCUUGUCAGGGACGGGAGGGCUGGUGUGCUAGCUGGGUCCCGAGGGCGGGCGGAGGGCUUCAUCCCUGAGCUUCAGAUGAGAGGAGUGGGAGUGCCUGGCUGCGGCUGGUGGGGGCGGGUAGGGGAGGUGCCUGAGGCCGUUUCCCAGAGCUGUUUUCGCUGGCUCCUGUGUGAGCACUGCAGUGGGUGGGGAGGAGGGCGGGUGGGGGUGGGUGGGGGUGGGCAGCCUUAUCCUGCAGGGCUGCUUGUGUACAAAUACCACGCGGCCUGCCUGGCCCUGAGCCCUGGCCUGGCUGCCGAGUGGGCAAGGAGGCGUUGGCUGUUUUUAGAUGAAGGGGCUGCUGUCCCACCCGUGGCAUUGGCGCCUGUGACCUGUGCACUGCCACGUGGCCUCGGGCCCGUGAGCCUGCGUGUACACGUCCGGCUUCGUCCAGGCGCCGCUGUCCCAGCAGAGGUGGGUGGGGGGCAGUGUGGAACUGCACUGCGAGGCCGUGGGCAACCCGGUGCCCGAGAUCCAGUGGUGGUUUGAAGGGCACGGUCCCAAUGACACCUGCUCCCAGCUCUGGGACGGCGCCCGGCUGGACCGCGUCCACAUCCACGCCACCUACCACCAGCACGCGGCCAGCACCAUCUCCAUUGACACGCUUGCAGAGGAGGACACGGGCACCUAUGAGUGCCGGGCCAGCAACGACCCAGACCGCAACCACCUGACCCGGGCGCCCAGGGUCAAGUGGGUCCGCGCCCAGGCAGUCGUGCUAGUCCUGGAACGUGAGUGGCGGGCACCUCCCUCCCCGCCUCCUUCAUUUUCCCUCCUGUGCCGCUCGCCUCCCGGCUCCUGCUCCGUAGAACCCAGACGCCUCCUCCCCUCUCCGUCCCGCUGUGCCCCUUCGGGCCCACCACCUGGGCAGAGGGGCCCGGACCCGAAGAGGGUGGGCUCACCGCUUGACCACCAGUGCUGGGCAGCCUGACGUGGGGAGGGCAGGGCUCUGCCCUCCAGCAGGUGGGUCCUCGUCCUCCCCUCGACCCUCCUCGUGCCGUCCGUUCCGCCGUUCCUUUCUGUUCCCCUGGGCGCCUGCCCAGCUCCCUCCCUAAGCGUCCGUACUGCAAGCCUGAGGGGCCUCCAAGCUCAGCCCAGGCUUGCAGGUCUCAGAACCUUCUGUGUCCUUCACAGCGUCUCGUUCUAAGGGAUUUUCACAUUUCAAUUCCUAGUGGGAAUAUUGUAAACUGACCAAGAACCAAGAGAUUUGCUUGGUUGGGGAUUGGCGGAAGAACUGGGGUGCUCCCAGCAUUGCUGGAGUGCUGUCAGCCUGGGGUUGGGGGGUGUGGAGCCACCUGGGUGCCUCCUAGAGAAGGGCAUGGGAGCCUUGGCCUGUGGCUAUUUUUUUUUAUUCCUGGAGACGGAUUCUUGCUCACUUGCCCAGGUGGAGUGCAGUGGCACGAUAUCGGCUCAGUGCAACCUCCACCUCCUGGGUUCAAGCGAUUCUCCUGCUUCAG